rnacentral:lncRNA from 1 species
CGGGACAAAUAACUUGCCUAUAUAUACCCACCGCCGCGGUAGAGCACUCCACAGUGCUCUGUUUUUUCAAUCCGGCGAGGUUUCUAGUUCACCUCCUAUGCACAUGAGGUGUUCACCUCCUAUGCACAUGAGGUGUUCGAUGAAAUGCUCGAGCCACACUAGUUAAGCUUUCUCCUCUCGAAGCUCGACCUAGGAGCUCCAUUUUUUUUGAGAUUUGUCUAGAUUUAGGGGCCCGUCACGCCCCGUCCCCGUUUUCACCGCCGUUGAUCGCCUGCGCCGAUCUCGUCGCCGGCACCACCGUGGUGAGCCUCUUGUUCUUAUCUUCUUUAUGAUACUUGUCUGAUUUUCUUACUUUAGAUAGAUAUUUGUCUGAUUUUCUUAAUUUUGACACACAUAAUUAUAUGUAAUGCACGCAGAUGAACC